rnacentral:lncRNA from 1 species
ACACAAUGGUACGGUCCACGCCAGGCCCUUCGUAGGGCUAGCGAGAUGGGACAUAUUUCUCCCGGCUCGGGACUCGAAAGUGAGUGAUUACUUCGGCCACCCGAGGCAGUCUCCACUCCCACAGAGACCCGCCAGGAUCUCCCGAGAGGCAGGAUUUGGACCCGGACCCCAACAACUAUGUCUCUCUGACUGCAGAACCGGGUAUCCCAGAACCGGAAGCUAGACUUGUAAUGACAAAGGCGGGAGGUCCAGGAAGGGCUGGCCUCUGAAGACAGGGACUGUGCUGGUGACCACUCUUCCGAGGAGACAUGGAGUGUCCCUCAGCGAGCGACUGUGCCCAUGGUUCAGGUUAGAAGUCCUCUGGAGGCUUGGAAGCGACAACCACCUCCUCAAUCCCCGCCGAAGAUGGGGGUGGGAAUUUGAGUAAGCAAAGGUGGACUUCAGCAGAAUAACUUGAAAUGUGGGCGAGGACUGGUCGCCUAGAAUAUGAAACAAGUGGUCUUUAGGGGAAAUUUUCCAUUCCCUCUACCCCUGUCCACGAAGAACGGUGCUGAUCCACUGGACCUCCUGAUACCCUCCCAGCCAACGCGUCCCCCAAACACUUCUUUUGAUCCCAAUUAUGUUUUGAGAUAUAAAGUAUAAUUACUGCAAUGAAAUAAAGCAAAAUGUUCACAGUUGGCAACUAAAGUAACUAGGCAAUUUACAUUAUCUUCAGAUUUUUGUCUAUUUUCCAUAACGGCUAAAGUUUCUUCCUAGCAACCUAGACUUCCCUACCAACAGCGACAAAAAAGCACGCUUAAGUAUUUAAAUAAUCUGACCCCAAUAGGAAAGGAACAUGAGGAACUGUUAACUAGGAUAUGGUCUUCAGUAUAUGAUUAUGGCUAUGGCUUUCAAUAUUGUCCACCUGAUUGAGAAACUAUUAGUUUAAACAAACUGGGUCAUUUCAUUCAACAUUCAAGAGGUUCCAAAAUUAGAUAAGAAACGAAAAAUUCUUUAAGAACUGUAAUUUGAGAGGAUAAUAACAGCACAUCCGAGGUGCAUUCUUAGUUUUCCAUACAACUGUGUUUCCUCCAACAAACACACUUUGUAGAUAAACUGAUAAGGAUGAGUCUGGCCUCCCAAGAAGUCACUAGUGGUAAAAUUCCAAGCCCAAAGGUCCUCUGGGUCCUCUGCCUGAACUCGGCAUUCCAAGUACUAGGAUUAGAGAAGACACAACUAGGUAUGUGAUUUGUUUCCCCAAAGCAAAGUAAGCAUGGUUACUACAAUGGCUUGAUUCCAUGAAUUAAGUAGUAAAGUUAGACAUUU